rnacentral:tRNA from 1 species
AAGUAUGAAGCAAUACAUUGCAUUUAGUUUCGACCUAGACCUCUGAUUUAAUAAAUCCAUACUUU